AUGAUUGCUUUCUCAAAUAAACACAAAGGCAUGGUUUUCUUGCUUAAUAGGAAGCACGGGUCUCUGACCUUAAUUCUCCUUGAAAAUCCAUUUGCUGUCCAGAGCAAGAAUCCUGAAACACAAAUGACCCGCUCACCCAGUUCAGCUUUUUUUAACCGCUCACCCAGUUCAGCAUUUCAGCUGCUGAGGCAGUAUCACUUUGCAGUCUGGGCAGGAUGAAGUUCGACUGGGCGCACUGGGCUCAGUCCCAAGAGGAGCAAACCACAGCCAAGCUUCUUUGUUUCUGAAGCAUGUUGGAGAAAGGUAGGGUUGCUCUGCCCAGGAAGUAGAUUUUUACAUUUUACAAAGGACGAAGGAAAACUGCAAUAAGAAGAACCAUUCAUGAUCCCCCAGGAUCAUGCCCAACAGCCUCACGAAGUGUGGAAAUAGCCUGGCUAAGUAAGAGAGAGAUAAAUCAAAUCCUGUAGUUUUCUGUCAGCCGCUUUAAUUGUUUCUUUCCAUGCUGUCAUCCUUUGCUUUUCCUGCAGUAUUCUGCUAAACCAUUCCAUGGGCUGAUUGAGUGUAUGCAUGUGAAGCUUUGUAUAGAAUAAAUAAUUACACAAGACAUUUCUGAAAGCAUAAAUGCAUUUGGCCUAACAAAACUAAUUCACAUCUUAAAAAGCCAGCUUCUCCAAAUGUCAGUUAUGUGAGCUAACUAUUUCUCCAGCAACCUAGCAAUUUAAUUCUUUACCCUUAUCUCCUUGGCCAUACUACACACAAAUGGUUUUCAGAAUAGGAAAGAAAAAAAAAGACCUUCCGGUGUCUGUUUUAAGCUUGUUUUUAUCUACUUUAUGUCUCUAACUUUGUCCUUAUAUUUGUUUCACAGCAAAAACAAAAUAGAGAAAAGAUAUCAACCAUGUCCCCAAAGGUUUAUAUAUCUGUAAGUUCCCUUUCGCUAUUCUGUUUUAUAGCAUAGAUCUUGUCCACAGACUAUAAACAUCUACUUCCCUCACUUCUUCAAAUGUCUUUUUGAGGCUGAUGAAGGAAGGGAUUGCUAGUCAAAUGUGAGUGUCUCUCCAGGAUGGUCCUAAUAGCCGCUAUUUCUGCUGCAAGGAAUCUAUAAUUGCCUGAUUGCUUGAUCUUCUUCAAAAGAAGAAACUGAAAUCAUGCUGGAACUAGAAAGAGCCAAGAUGAGUUGUGUUUCUAAGCCCCUGGCCCUGACUCCAUCCAAUAGCUGUCACCUGACAAAUCC
rnacentral:lncRNA from 1 species